rnacentral:rRNA from 1 species
GAGUUCAAGAGUACUUGAAACCGUUCAGGGGUAAACCUGAGAAACCCGAAAGGUCGAAAGGGGAAAUUCAUUCGCGUUUCGGCAUGUCGGCGAUGGGSGGUUGAGUGACGGACGGCGUUCGCGUCGUCCGCGCCUUUCGUCUUUCSAACCGGCGUCGAACGCGUGCACUUUUCCCCUAGUAGGACGUCGCGAUCCGUUGGGUGUCGGUCUAAGGUUCGGGGUGGAGCCCGCGCGGACGUUUCGGCGUUCCGCUCGGACCCCCGGAAUCCCGGCCGACUGCUCGACGGUAUACAGAUGGCGCGAGGCCGCUACAUAGUUAGCGUUCGGCCCGCGGCAAGCGCGUUCGGCGUUUGACGGCGAUCGGACCCGGUGCCGGUCCUGUCCACSAACGACUGKUGGCUGCGGUGUUCUCGAACARACCUCGUCGAAACGCCSA